rnacentral:rRNA from 1 species
CUCGUAGGCGGCUCGCUAAGUCAGACGUGAAAGCCCUCGGCUUAACCGGGGAACGGCGUCUGAGACUGGCAAGCUUGAAUCCGGGAGAGGGAUGCGGAAUUCCAGGUGUAGCGGUGAAAUGCGUAGAUAUCUGGAGGAACACCGGUGGCGAAGGCGGCAUCCUGGACCGGCAUUGACGCUGAGGAGCGAAAGCCAGGGAGCAAACG